rnacentral:rRNA from 1 species
GACGAACGCUGGCGGCGUGCUUAACACAUGCAAGUCGAACGGAAAGGCCCUGCUUGCAGGGUACUCGAGUGGCGAACGGGUGAGUAACACGUGGGUGAUCUGCCCUGCACUUCGGGAUAAGCCUGGUAAACUGGGUCUAAUACCGGAUAGGAGCCAUUUUUAGUGUGAUGGUUGGAAAGUUUUUUCGGUGUAGGAUGAGCUCGCGGCCUAUCAGCUUGUUGGUGGGGUAAUGGCCUACCAAGGCGGCGACGGGUAGCCGGCCUGAGAGGGUGGACGGCCACAUUGGGACUGAGAGACGGCCCAGACUCCUACGGGAGGCAGCAGUGGGGAAUAUUGCACAAGGGGCGCAAGCCUGAUGCAGCGACGCCGCGUGGGGGAUGACGGCCUUCGGGUUGUAAACUCCUUUCGCUAGGGACGAAGCUUUUUGUGACGGUACCUAGAUAAGAAGCACCGGCUAACUACGUG